rnacentral:rRNA from 1 species
UUAUCGCCCAAGGAUGAGCCCGCGUAGGAUUAGCUAGUUGGUGGGGUAAUGGCCUACCAAGGCGACGAUCCUUAGCUGGUCUGAGAGGAUGAUCAGCCACACUGGGACUGAGACACGGCCCAGACUCCUACGGGAGGCAGCAGUGGGGAAUAUUGGACAAUGGGCGAAAGCCUGAUCCAGCAAUGCCGCGUGAGUGAUGAAGGCCUUAGGGUUGUAAAGCUCUUUUACCCGGGAUGAUAAUGACAGUACCGGGAGAAUAAGCUCCGGCUAACUCCGUGCCAGCAGCCGCGGUAAUACGGAGGGAGCUAGCGUUGUUCGGAAUUACUGGGCGUAAAGCGCGCGUAGGCGGUUACUCAAGUCAGAGGUGAAAGCCCGGGGCUCAACCCCGGAACUGCCUUUGAAACUAGGUGACUAGAAUCUUG